rnacentral:lncRNA from 1 species
AGAGCUAGAGCAUAUUUGCCUGCCACCAUUAGUUUUGUGUUUCCAUGGAAUUUGAGCAAAACUGAUGCACUUGUCCUUCAGGAUUAAUCCAUACAAAUCACCUCUAAAAUUAUCUUUCCCCAUUCAUUGACUGAGCAAAAUGGACUUCAAGGACCCAAAGGAGGUUAAUACCACAAGAUGGAGGAGCUUGAUUCUCUGAAUCAUUGUGUGUGAAGUCAUCUGCCAAUUACAUAAAUUGAAUUCUUGGCACUCCGGAGUUUCAACUACCAGAGACUGAAGGCAGGAGAGAAAAACUAAGACAAAUGACUUCAAAGCCUUUCUGAAAUGCCACAGACGGUCAGGAUUACAAUCUGCCUAUUCUGAUUCUUCUACUAUGGGAAAAAAUCUUUUCCAGAAUUGAUGUAAAGCCUCUGUUAGUACUUUUCCUGUUAACAACCUAACUAUUCAACUGCUGAAUAAAAACCAUUAGGACAACUAAAGUAACAGAAACUGAGAGAUUUUAGCAAGAAAUAGUCAUUCCAAUAUCAAUGACUAUG